UACGUAGGGGGCUAGCGUUGUCCGGAAUCAUUGGGCGUAAAGCGCGUGUAGGCGGUCCGGUAAGUCCGCUGUGAAAGUCGGGGGCUCAACCCUCGGAUGCCGGUGGAUACUGUCGGGCUCGAGUACGGGAGAGGCGAGUGGAAUUCCUGGUGUAGCGGUGAAAUGCGCAGAUAUCAGGAGGAACACCAAUUGCGAAGGCAGCGAGCUGGAACGUUACUGACGCUGAGACGCGAAAGCGUGGGGAGCAAACAGG
rnacentral:rRNA from 1 species